rnacentral:lncRNA from 1 species
GUGGUUCCCACAUGGCAUUUUUUCUUCCCCUGAGCCAUCAGCAGCAGUGCCUGGGGUUCACUCCUUUCUCUUUCCCUGCUUGCAGGGUUUGACCACCUGUGGGUGUUAAUGGUUCCUGAUGCUGGGCAGGCAGCAGGUGCUGCUUCAAUCCCACAGCAAGCAGAAGGAGAAAUUUCAAUUAUUGACCCAUUAAUUGUGAUGAGUUUUUGUCGUCAUCAUCGUCAUCAUCAUCAUUUUAAUUCUCCAAAUUCUUUUCCAGGCUCUGCUGGUUUGCUGGGAACAGAAGAAGAUUGGCUGACAUUUCCAGAGAAGGAGGGCAUUUCCAUGCAAUGUACCUCUCCAGACCUGGAGGAGCUGAGCAUGUCACUCCCACCUUUGAGAGCAGCUGAGCCUCGCCUGAUGGAGGGAUGAGAGACCCAAAGAAAUGCUGCAAUGCUACAAAAUCAAGCCCCUGCCUGAUACUUAAAGCACAAAACCCAGCAGGGAGAGAGGUAAUGGAAUUUGGAGGCAACUGGUGUUCAAAGACCUCUCUUGAAAUGGGUCUAUGCUAAUGACGAGGGUCUGUGCAAAUCGGGUCGGUGUCCUCCGAAAGGAGCAGCUCCAUCAGGACAGCCAACGUGGGGCAGGAUUGUCCCCCUGAGGAUUUCACAGGGCUGUACCUUUGAGCCAAAACCUCAAAGAGUUUCUGGCUCUGACUGACCCGGCCAGAGCAGGACACGUUUCACCCACCGAGAGUCGCCAGGCGCGUGUGUGGUCCGGGAGCUGGGCACGUUCACCCCGAUGGAACCGAGUUUAAUUGCUGCCUCCUGACUUUGGAGAGAAGGAAUCUGUGCUGAAAGGCUCAGAGCCUUUUCCUUGAACUUUCAUUCUCCAGACUGAGCUGAUGGGAGUCCUUGAUGGAAUUACGUUGGUGAAUUAUUGCUGAGAUGCAGGAUUGAGCUUGGUGCCGAACCUCAUCGCAAUCCCCUUUUUGUCUCCUCUCUGGACCUUCAUGAAAUACUAAAAAUUGCAUUGCCUCUUUGCACAUACAAUUUGUCAUGCAACAUAUUUCCCCACAAAGCUUAAAAACUUAAAGGGCUGACCAUAAAUUUAAAAAAACAGUCUUGCAGAAGGGGCGACUCUUUUUUUCUGAGGCAAAGAAAAUGUUUUUCAGAAGCAGAGCUUUAAAAGACACGGCACUGGGAGUGGUAAAAUAUGAGCUGUAAUUCAAGCCCACGAGUCUCUCUGCUGAAAAUGUGGGUGCAGGCAUGGUACUGGAGCACAUUUCUUAAAAAAUAGACAUCACUAAGCAAAAUUGCCAUAACCAACUGUUUGCUGGCUUGGAGAAGAGGCUGUUGUGUAUCCCUGCAGGGAACUGGUGCUUGGUUACACGGGCUAAGAAAGCACCAAUCCAUGAAAGGAACCUGGAGGUGCAGCACAGCACCUACAGCUGCAGGCCCCGUUGGGAUAAAUUGAGGCAUUAAAUGCAUCUUAUUCACAGUAAGCAAUAAAUGCAGGUAAUUAUGGAAAUGAGAGGCCA